rnacentral:rRNA from 1 species
GGAUUACCUUAGUACGGCGAGUGAACCGGGAAGAGCUCAAAUUUGAAAUCUGGCUGUCUUCGAUAGUCCGAGUUGUAAUCUAUAGAAGCGUUUUCCGUGCUGAACUGUGUCUAAGUCCUCUGGAACGAGGUAUCAAAGAGGGUGACAAUCCCGUACUUGACACAAUCAUCAGUGCUCUGUGAUACGUUCUCUACGAGUCGAGUUGUUUGGGAAUGCAGCUCAAAAUGGGUGGUAAAUUCCAUCUAAAGCUAAAUAUUGGCGAGAGACCGAUAGCGAACAAGUACCGUGAGGGAAAGAUGAAAAGCACUUUGGAAAGAGAGUUAAACAGUACGUGAAAUUGUUAAAAGGGAAACGAUUGAAGUCAGUCGUGUUUAUUGGAUUCAGCCGGUCUUCGGUGUACUUCCUUUAAACGGGUCAACAUCAGUUUUGUUCGGUGGAUAAAGGCAGUAGGAAUGUGGCUCCCUCGGGAGUGUUAUAGCCUAUUGUCACAUACACUGGAGGAGACUGAGGACUGCAGCUCGCCUUUUUGGCCGGGGUUCGCCCACGUUCGAGCUUAGGAUGUUGACAUAAUGGCUUUAAACGACCCGUCUGAAA